AUCAUUGGUCUCGCUAUCAUUGGUCUCAUUUGUACUUAUUGGAGACGACUGACGAGCAGACGCGCCUAACAGCUGAUUGGAGCACGACCCCAUUAUACCCGGACGAAUUUUUACGGUCAUUGGUCAUCAGUAUUGACCAUCUCCACAUCGAGGCUGCAAUAAACCUUUUAGUUCGA